UACACUCCUACGGGAAGCAGCAGUGGGGAAUUUUGGACAAUGGGCGAAAGCCUGAUCCAGCAAUGCCGCGUGAGUGAAGAAGGCCUUCGGGUUGUAAAGCUCUUUUGUCAGGGAAGAAACGGUGAGAGCUAAUAUCUUUUGCUAAUGACGGUACCUGAAGAAUAAGCACCGGCUAACUACGUGCCAGCAGCCGCGGUAAUACGUAGGGUGCAAGCGUUAAUCGGAAUUACUGGGCGUAAAGCGUGCGCAGGCGGUUUUGUAAGUCUGAUGUGAAAUCCCCGGGCUCAACCUGGGAAUUGCAUUGGAGACUGCAAGGCUAGAAUCUGGCAGAGGGGGGUAGAAUUCCACGUGUAGCAGUGAAAUGCGUAGAUAUGUGGAGGAACACCGAUGGCGAAGGCAGCCCCCUGGGUCAAGAUUGACGCUCAUGCACGAAAGCGUGGGGAGCAAACAGGAUUAGAUACCCGAGUAGUCCC
rnacentral:rRNA from 1 species